AUCAUCAAGCCACCUCAAGAAGAAGGGAGGACCGUUCUCUUCUUCUUGUGACUGUGCCUUCCAAAGGUCAAUCUCAGAUAUCCUGAAAUAGAUGUGCGUUCCUAUGGACUGGGACCCUUCUGGAUGGACCCUCUCAAUGUUACCCACAGCAUAGCAGAAUGACUACAGAGUUCUGCUCACUGAUGAGUGGUGGCUGUUGUUCUUGCUGCAUCUGAGGUGGUAUGGACCUAGUGUGCCUUUCCUCCUGUGGUUACUGACCACCUGGCUGCAGUGAUCAUCACUCUCCUGGCUGCAGUGAGCUGCAAUGGUCAUCACUCUCCUGCUGCAAUGAUCAUCACUCUUCUGGCUGCAGUGAACUGCAGUGGUCAUCACUCUCCUGGCUGCAGUGGUCAUCACUCUCCUGGCUGCAGUGAGCUGCAGUGGUCAUAACCCUCCUGGCUGCAGUGAGCUGCAAUGGUCAUCACCCUCCUGGCUGCAGUGAGCUGCAGUGGUCAUCACUCUCCUGCUACAAUGAUCAUCACUCUUCUGGCUGCAGUGAGCUGCAGUGGUCAUCACUCUCCUGGCUGCAGUGAGCUGCAGUGAUCAUAACCCUCCUGGCUGCAGUGAGCUGCAGUGGUCAUCACCCUCCUGGCUGCAGUGAGCUGCAGUGGUCAUCACUCUCCUGGCUGCAGUGAGCUGCAGUGGUCAUCACCCUCCUGGCUGCAGUGAGCUGCAGUGGUCAUCACUCUCCUGCUGCAAUGUUCAUCACUCUCCUGGCUGCAGUGAGCUGCAGUGGUCAUCACCCUCCUGGCUGCAGUGAGCUGCAGUGGUCAUCACUCUCCUGGCUGCAGUGAGCUGCAGUGGUCAUCACCCUCCUGGCUGCAGUGAGCUGCAGUGGUCAUCACUCUCCUGCUGCAAUGAUCAUCACUCUUCUGGCUGCAGUGAGCUGCAGUGGUCAUCCCUCUCCUGGCUUCAGUGAGCUGUAGUGGUCAUCACUUUCCUGGUAGCAGUGAGCUGCAGUGGUUAUCACUCUCCUGUCUACAAUGUUCAUCACUCUCCUGGCUGCAGUGAGGUGUAGUGGUCAUCACUCUCCUGGUAGCAGUGGUCCAGUGCAGCUCUGCCCUCCCUACACUAGGUCCUAGGAAGGGCAUCUCUGCUUUUCAACAGGCUGCAGUGUCCAUGGGUCAUGGCACUCUAAACUAUGAAGCUCCUAGGAAGGAAUAUUCAAGGACAAAGUCAGAGGAUCAACUUUAUUUGCUCUAGCUAAAAUAUUUUUGACAAUAAUUAAAGCAGAGAUGAAAAGAUCCAAACAAAAUAUCCAAGGGGCCAACUUUCCAUUCCAUAACCCUUGUAACCUGUUAAAGAGCAAAAAGUCCAAUGAGGUCAAGACAAACUUUCUGUUCUGCUGCACUGACUCCACAUAACUGCCUGCUUUAUGAGGGCACUGAAUGUCAACAAAGGUGUACUGUAUCCCGUACAGUCAACCUUGGCUCUCUAUCCAUGUGCAGCCUUCUGUGGCUAAGCAAGCUCAACAUGAAAUACCUGACAUUGUGACUUACAAUCUUGAAUGAGUAUGUUACCGUGUGUGGCCCUCAGACUCCUUUCUUGUACUCAUGCACUCAUUGCAAAUAUUGCAAACAUU
rnacentral:lncRNA from 1 species